CACUUACUCCCUCCGUUCGGAAUUACUUGUCGUAGAAAUGGAUGUAUAUAGACGUAUUUUAGUUCUAGAUACAUCCAUUUUUGAGACAAGUAAUUCCGAACGGAGGGAGUAGUUU
rnacentral:pre_miRNA from 1 species